rnacentral:lncRNA from 1 species
AUGUUCUCCGUUCAAAAUCUGCCCUCACAGAGCUGCUGCAACUCCACGUGCUUUCCCCAACAUACUUCGCCACCUUGUCUCCCUCGUCUUUCCCUUCUGAAGGAAGGAGCUCCUGAAACGGACUGUUUUGUCAAGAUGGGCUGCCCCACUAGAAUGCUGACCCACAGGGCCGGCCAAGGGACUCGCUGCUGGACCACUCCCACCGUUGCCCUUUACGCGUCCAUGGGAAACAUUUGCAGGCUAUUCCCCAGUGGCCCGGACAGGGCGUCUCAAAGGUAUCCAGUGAAUCUGCGACCACUGCCUACUGCAUUGGAGAUCUGGGACACGUGUCUUGUAUUGUUCUAGGCACAGCCUGGCCUUCAGCGCAGCGCCUCCUGAUUCUGGGAAAGAUGUCUUUUCCUCAGUGCGAACCCAACUCAAAUAAUAAAUGACACCAGAGCACAGACA